UACGUAGGGUGCAAGCGUUGUCCGGAAUUAUUGGGCGUAAAGAGCUCGUAGGCGGUCUGUCGCGUCGAAUGUGAAAAUCCGAGGCUCAACCUCGGACCUGCAUUCGAUACGGGCAGACUAGAGUUCGGUAGGGGAGUCUGGAAUUCCUGGUGUAGCGGUGAAAUGCGCAGAUAUCAGGAGGAACACCGGUGGCGAAGGCGGGUCUCUGGGCCGAUAUUGACGCUGAGGAGCGAAAGCGUGGGGAGCGAACAGG
rnacentral:rRNA from 1 species